rnacentral:rRNA from 1 species
GACGAACGCUGGCGGCGUGCCUAAUACAUGCAAGUAGGACGCAGUUGCGAACGGGUGAGUAACGCGUAGGUAACUACCUAUUAGAGGGGGAUAACUAUUGGAAACGAUAGCUAAUACCGCAUAUUAGUAGAUGGACCUGCGUUGUAUUAGGUAGUUGGUAGGGUAAUGGCCUACCUAGGCAACGAUACAUAGCCGAGCUGAGAGGGGGAUCGGCCAAAAUGGGACGGAGAAACGGCCCAGACUCCCAAGGGAUGCAGCAGUAGGGAAUCUUAGGCAAUGGGGGGAAACCUGACCGAGGAACGCCGCGGGAGUGAAGAAGGUUUUCGGAUCGUAAAUCUCUGUUGUUAAGGAAGCGGUACUUAACCAGAAAGGGACGGCUAACUACGUGCCAGCAGCCGCGGUAAUAC